ensembl:misc_RNA 7SK 7SK RNA
GGAUAUGAGGGUGACAUCUGUCACCCCAUUAAUCACCAGCACUGAUUCUGCUGAUCUGGCUGGGAGGAUGUCCCCCUUCUCCCUCACCACUGCAUGUGUGUCCCUCCCAAAGCUGCAUGUUGGGUGGAAGAAGAUGAUCACCCCUGAUACAGGAGGACCAUUUCCUGGGACAAGGGUAUACGAGUAGCUGUGCGCCCCUGCUAGAACUUCCAAACAGCUCUCAAAUUUAUUCUUAUAAGAAUUGACUGGAGGCCAAGGAUUUAGCUCAGUUGCACCUCACCUGCCUCGUAAGCACAAAGUCUUGAGUUCAAGU